rnacentral:tRNA from 1 species
AAGACUUUAAGUUAAUUUAAAACUAUUAAUCUUCAAAAUUAAAAAUAUAAUGAUUAUAAGUCUUA